UUCUUAAGUUAUAAGAUGUUGAAAACUGCAUGGUUGUAUUUCUUUAGUUACAAGAUGUUGAAAACUGCUUGGUUCUAUUUCUUUAGUUACAAGAUGUUGAAAACUGCUUGGUUCUAUUUCUUUAGUUACAAGAUGGUGAAAACUGCAUGGUUGUAUUUCUUUAGUUACAAGCUGUUGAAAACUGCAUGGUUGUAUUUCUUUAGUUACAAGAUGUUGAAAACUGCAUGGUUGUAUCUUUUUAGUUAUUUAAUUAUUAAAUUUUAAAAUGGGAAAUAUUAUUUUCGACCACCCCCUAUAUAUAUGUAGUAUGCCUAUAGCUACUACAGUGAAAUUGACUAACACAGUUACAUACAGUGUAAUAAGACAGUAGUUAAUGCAUCUAAACUGUAAGGGAGAACUUGUAAAGCUGCUUGUAAUUCCAGUCUUAUGACAAAAUACAGAAAAAUUUAAGCAUCUGUAGUGCAUGUUUGUAAUGUUUUUCAUGGUUGUGUAUUUAUAAUCGUUAAUAUCACUAAUCUUAAGUUCUGAUCUUUCAUCUUCUUCCAAAGAAAGCAUCUUUUUCUGAGUGAUUUCAUCGAAUACCUGGAAGUGCAAGAAUUAUUUUUAGAAUAUUGAAAAAUAUUUUAGAAAGUUAAUUAUUGCUGUCGAUUGUAUGCAGAUACAGCAGUUCUGACAUAUAGAAAGAAAAUAUAUCAAAUAGUAGUUGAAAAGAAAAGGUAACGAGACAAAGAAAAUCUAAUAUAUUUAAUAUCUUUAAAUAAACUUUGGAGCAAAAAUUGGUUAUUUUAAAUUGGAGGUAUGUUUCUGUGGCUGUUAGAGUUGGUUGAUUUUUUUUAAAUCGAGGGUUUUCUAAAAUAUUUUUCUAUUACUCUGAUGAUGGUGUCUGUUUAAUAAAACAUUUAUACAAUUUGCUUUUAUUCACGUAAGAAAGGUAUUCUAGUUCAGGAACAGCAUGCUGGGUGUAUUUUCUACUUAGAUUAUACCAGCCACUUUGAAUGUUGUUUUUUUUUAUGAGUAACUCCAUCCACUUCCUACUACUUCUGUGAUUAAACUUGUUAUAAGGAUAACCUGAAAGGUCACAUCCUAACAUUUCCUGAGAAAACCUUGUAAAACAAAAGCUUUCUAAUUAAAUAUAUGAUUUUCUGUUGAGAUAUUUUCUACCACUAAAAUGUAUUGAAACUGAUAUGAUAACAGGUAAAAGCACUCAUUGCUCAUGCUCUUUUCUAUAUAUGUAUAUGUGUGUGUGUGUGUGUAUAUACUGACUCUUCUUUUUACAUCCUCUGAUGGGACAGUGAUAAGUUUUUGGACUUACAGUGACUAAAAUCUGGGGUUUGAUUCCCCAAGGUGGACACAGCAGAUAACUCAGUGUAGCUUUACUCUAAAGAAACAAAGCAAACUCUCUUACACAUUAACAUAAAAUAUUCUAAUAUCAUUUAAGAAUUGUUCAUGCUCAUCAUGACAGUAAUGUAGUGGAUUAAACAUAUGGCAUAGUUGUAAUGAAGGUUAGCAGAGAAAACUAUAUAAAUGAAAUUAGUUGGAAGGAAGAUCAUACCUUGAAUCACUACACCAUGAUUUUAAAAUUCAGAUAUCAAAUAGAUUAUAUAUAUUGAUAUAAUCGGUAUCUCAUUCAGGAUUUCAAGAGAUACUACCUUUGAAAGUGUAAACUUUAAGGUUAUUCUUUUGGACUUUAGUAAUUAAAUGUGGUGAAAAGUUUAUUCAUGAGAUAUAAUUUCUGUGGUUCGAGGAUGUGAAAGUCUUAUGCUUGGUGAACACAAGUAAAACAGGUUUGUUUGUUUUUCCAAAAGUUUUGGAAUUUGUUAUGAAUAAAGGAAACUGCAGGUUUCUUACACAAAUAACCCAUUGUUUAUUUUGAGGCAUAAACAUGUAAUCUUUUUUUGUUGUUGUUGUUAAACAUUUAAUAGGGUUUUUUUGUAACAAGGAAUACAUAUAUAUAUAUAUUUGUAUACAUAUAAACACAAUUUGUGCUUAAUAUAUGUGCUGACAUGAGUAAAUACCUUUGUAUAAUGAUACAUUUAUUUAUACAAAUAUAAAGUUAAUUUAAAAAAAAAGGCUCAUAAGUUACCAUAUAAAUACACUUUGCUAUAACGAUUUAACUUCCUCUCUUUUAACCAAAGAAACUGAUGUACUUUUGACAAAAUGUUGCCUUACACUCAUCAGCAACUCCCGUAACUCUCUUCUGUUUUUAUGAAAGUGUGAACAACCCGUCAUUUUCAAAAUUCUACUCUAUGCCUACAGUACCUUUAUAAGUUUCCCAAGCUGAUUGGAUGAUUCAAUACUUGUUUAUAGAAAAGAACUACAUGUGCCUGCUGUGUUCAGCUGGAUUUAACUUCUCUUCGGGUCUACAACGACACAUGAAAUUUCAGCAUGGCCCUGUGCAGUUUGUGAACUGUUCCUUCUGUGGCAAACCAUUCCAAAGGUCAGAUAAUCUCAAAAGACAUCUGUCGCUGCAGCAUGGGGUAUUUCCUGCUAAAGGCAGAAGAGGAAGAAAACCAAUCUUAUCAAAUAGAUGAACAUUCCAUUUUAUAUGGAGAAAGAAAAGAUUUGUGGUACUAACAAAUGGCCAUUUUCAGUGUUCUUGGUGUAACAUUGUGAUUACAAGGAAAAAUCAUCUCUAUCGCCAUCAGCGACACUACUGUAAGAAUAAGCCUACCAGAAAAGACUUUAUGUGUGACUCAUGUGGUGCUUGUUGCCAGGAUGAUAUGCAAUUGAAAAAUCAUCAACCAGUGUGUUUUAUGAGGACUUCUUUAAUGUAUAACUUUCACUAAUCAGUGAUUGAAAGAUUAAUAUUGAUAGAAAUUUCUAGAUGAAACCACCCUAAUUUGGGUGAUUUAUUAAUAUUUGAAAAAGUAAAUAAAAUACGAAGGAUUUUAAAGAGUACGGGAGAUUUAAAUAUGUUUUUAAAUAUUCUGAAUUUGGUUCUGUUGAAAUUGUAGGUUUCCCACAUUGAAGAAAAAAAAAUUGUUUUUCAUUACUGUCACAGUUGUUUUUAGAUAUUUUUGUAUGUAUAAUAAUUUAAAUCCUCAGUGUCAUUGUCACUGUUAUAGUAGAACAAUUAAUUUAGUUGGCAGUGUUAGCACAAAGGUAUUUAUAUAUAUAGAUAGAUAGAUAUAAAUAACUACUACAUGUUUAAUUAAAAAUAAACACAUUUAUAACAACAGAAAAUAUUUGGGGUGGUAUUAAGGUUUAAAAGGUAAGGAUUUUGAAUCAGUAUAGAUAUGUUUGACUUUCCUAUGGAUUGUUUUUGCCAUCCAUUAGUUGGACAACAUGUCGAUCUGUGUGCUGAAGCUUGUUUCAGACUUAUUAACUUAAUCCUUGUCUGCCUCAUAAACCCAGACGUUUGUCAUCCAUAAUUUUUUUUAUAGGAAUGUUUUAAAUUUGUAACUUGAUAAUUAAAUUAUAUUUAACUUUCCAAAAUUUUGAAGUAUGCCGCACUGAAAUUUGGGGAAUAUAUUUAAUUCAGUAGGUUGAUAAAAAUAAUUACUUUUUAGAUUGAGGAUGGCCAACUUCUUUAUACACUUGGGCCAGUUUCUUACCUAGACCAAAACUGUAUGACCAGGAAUAAAAGGACAAAGGUUUGUAGUAUUACCUAAUGGACACUUUCAGUGUUGCUGGUGCGGUAUCGUAAUUACAAGGAAAACUCAUCUCUAUCGACAUCAGCGACACUCUUGUAAAAAGAAACCAUUCCGAAAAGAAUUUACUUGUGAGAUAUGUAGUGCUCAUUUUGAUAGUAAUAUUGAAUUACAUAAUCACCACCUGGAAUGCUUUGUGAGAAAUUCCUUGAUGUAUAAGUUUACAUAAAUUGUUAAUAAAAUAAGCAAACAUAUAAUUCAUAUUUAAAUAGACUAAGUAAAACAGGAAGAGAAAGAGCAAGAAAAAUAGAAGAUAACCUAAACAUCUUCAUGAAAUAUAUUGGUGUUAUAUAGAAUUACGGUAAUGUUUUAAAGAGAGUUGAGAUGAUAAGAAAACAUUAUUAUUGGUUUUUAAAAGAGGAUGAAUCAUUGAAUAUUUUCAUUUAAGUGUAAAUUCUUUAAAUACAACCAAUUAAAAAGUGCUUUAAUGUUUUUCUUAAGUUAUCUGUGUGGUUUUAAACCAUUGUAAUUAUUGAGAAAAAGUUAGGAUGACCUGUUUCUUCAGUGUUAGUGUGGAAAUAUGUAGGAAAUGAAAUACAUAUAUAUGUAGUUGUACAUCUUUCUAUAAAUUUAAGCACACUGUUCAAAACAAUUAAUAGAUCAUCAGAAUUCAUAAUGUUAUUGUUAUGACCAGUCAAAAAUCCACUGUUAUGAAAUAAAUAUCUCUCUUCAAUUUAUUUUUAUGCAAAUCCAGUAUCUGAUGAUCAGUUAUGUGAUUUGAAAUGCAAGUAUUUGGCCAUUCAGUCUAUGCUUGUAAAUGACAAUUAGGUAGAUGUGAAUUUACAUAUUUAUGUUUCAUGUCAGUAUGAAGCCUGAUCACCAUGAAUGACAAGGAAACCUUGGCACUGUUGUUGCAUGCAUAAAAUCAGUGUUGAUAAAGUCCCGAGUUAUUCUUGACAGUUCUUGCAAAAUAAAUAUUUUCAGGGUGUUAUUAGUGUCUGGGGUGUUCCACGUGCUGUCCUUGUAAUUCGAGACAAGUUUGGAGACGGUAUUUCCAUUCUUUUUGGAUGCUGCAAGACAUACUUGUAUCAUUGGCAAUGGUCCAGUAUACAUCUCCAAUUCAUUGUUUCAGAUGCUUUGUGUCCCCGAUCUUCUCUUUAUACACACGUGCCUUGAGCUGUCCCUAGAAAAAUCUAUGGGAGUCAAGCCUGCAAAUCUUGGGGCCCAUUCCUAGGGGCCAUGUCUUUUAAUCCUUUCUCCUGAGAAGGUGUCAUUCAACUAAGCUUGGACUUUCAAGCUGCAAAUCAUCUAUGAUUCCAGACUUUUUGGACACCCUGUAGUAUAGGUCAAUUUAUCAAUAAUUUCAUUUCAGAUCACAUCAGAUGAGUAACUUUCAUAACAAUGAACUGAGAUGGAUUAACAUGUUUUGUAGCAGUUGUUUUUCCAUCAUUGUAGCUAUAAUAUUACAAGUUCUAAUGUUCCUUUAAUUGUUUUUAUGCGAGUUUAUUUAAUGAUUUAUGAUAAAUUGAUUUUGAAAUCUUCUUUGUUGAUACAGAUUAAUUGUAUUCCCAUGUUCUUUAGGGUUUAUUACUGUCUAUGAAAGCACUGAUUUGUCAUGAAAGCUUAAAUACUUAAUUGUUAAACUGGUUGAACGUGCCAGGAUGAUGUACCUUGUACAUAUUAACUUAUUAAAUUGGUUAAUUUUUUGCAAAGAACUUGUAUUUUUUUUCUUUUAGAGUUUAUAUAUAAUUUAUUUAUGAAUUACAAUAACACGUACAUUUCCAAAGAACAUAUGUAUUAAUAAUAAUUCAAGUACGAUGACUUCAGAAACAAAGCAAGUAUUACCUUGAAAUUCUAUUGAUGUUUUGAAUUUACUAAAUUUAUUGUUAGCUUUUGGUUAUGUUACAUUGUUUCUGAGACAUUACUUGUAACUAUUAUUGAUUCAUUGUUUCUUAAGCAAAGUAACUACCAAAUUUGUUUUAGGCCAUUAGAUUUCUGAUGUUAACUGGGGACAGCUAGUGUUAGGUAUUGUUUUCCAUAUUUUUAUUACACUUACUUGUAUAGAUACAUUUCCUUUAAAUUGAACACAUAUUUAUCAGGGGUGCAUAUCUCAUCAUAUGAUACGUAUCUAGAUAUUGAUGCUGCGAUACGAUACGUAUCUAGAUACGGAAGUUUUACCAACGGUUUGUUACAAAGUUUAGCAGUCUUGUCUGUAAUUUAUUAUCUAUAUUACUAACAUUGUCUUAUUAAAGUACUUCACUUUUUCAGGUUUUCAGGUUUGAUCAACUAAAUGGUAGCU